rnacentral:rRNA from 1 species
UACGUAGGGUGCGAGCGUUGUCCGGAAUUAUUGGGCGUAAAGAGCUCGUAGGCGGUGUGUCACGUCGGCCGUGAAAACCUGCAGCUUAACUGUGGGCGUGCGGUCGAUACGGGCAUCACUGGAGUUCGGCAGGGGAGACUGGAAUUCCUGGUGUAGCGGUGAAAUGCGCAGAUAUCAGGAGGAACACCGGUGGCGAAGGCGGGUCUCUCGGUCGGCUACUGACUGACGUGAGGAGCGAAAGCGUGGGGAGCGAACAGGAUUAGA